rnacentral:rRNA from 1 species
AGAGUUUGAUCCUGGCUCAGAAUGAACGCUGGCGGCAUGCCUAACACAUGCAAGUCGAACGAAGCCUUCGGGUUUAGUGGCGCACGGGUGCGUAACGCGUGGGAAUCUGCCCCUUGGUUCGGAAUAACAGUUGGAAACGACUGCUAAUACCGGAUGAUGACGUAAGUCCAAAGAUUUAUCGCCGAGUGAUGAGCCCGCGUAGGAUUAGGUAGUUGGUGUGGUAAAGGCGCACCAAGCCGACGAUCCUUAGCUGGUCUGAGAGGAUGAUCAGCCACACUGGGACUGAGACACGGCCCAGACUCCUACGGGAGGCAGCAGUGGGGAAUAUUGGACAAUGGGCGAAAGCCUGAUCCAGCAAUGCCGCGUGAGUGAUGAAGGCCUAGGGUGAAAG